AGUGAACGCUGGCGGUAGGCCUAACACAUGCAAGUCGAACGGCAGCACAGUAAGAGCUUGCUCUUACGGGUGGCGAGUGGCGGACGGGUGAGGAAUACAUCGGAAUCUACUUUUUCGUGGGGGAUAACGUAGGGAAACUUACGAUAAUACCGCAUACGACCUACGGGUGAAAGCAGGGGAUCUUCGGACCUUGCGCGUUUGAAUGAGCCGAUGUCGGAUUAGCUAGUUGGCGGGGUAAAGGCCCACCAAGGCGACGAUCCGUAGCUGGUCUGAGAGGAUGAUCAGCCACACUGGAACUGAGACACGGUCCAGACUCCUACGGGAGGCAGCAGUGGGGAAUAUUGGACAAUGGGCGCAAGCCUGAUCCAGCCAUACCGCGUGGGUGAAGAAGGCCUUCGGGUUGUAAAGCCCUUUUGUUGGGAAAGAAAAGCAGCAGGUUAAUACCCCGCUGUUCUGACGGUACCCAAAGAAUAAGCACCGGCUAACUUCGUG
rnacentral:rRNA from 1 species